rnacentral:tRNA from 2 species
GGUAAAGUGGCUGAAAGUUUAAGCGUUGGAUUGUAGUCCCAUGAAUAGAGGUUUAAUUCCUCUCUUUAUCA